GUCCUCAGUUCGGAUUGCAGCCUGCAACUCGCCUGCAUGAAGCAGGAAUCGCUAGUAAUCGCCGGUCAGCCAUACGGCGGUGAAUCCGUUCCCGGGCCUUGUACACACCGCCCGUCACACUAUAGGAGCUGGCCAUGUUUGAAGUCAUUACCCUUAAUCGUAAGGAGGGGGAAGUGUGCAGGGAUGCGUUUGUAAGAAGAAAUGUAUAUACGUAUGUAUGAGCAUCUACAUC
rnacentral:ncRNA from 1 species